rnacentral:rRNA from 1 species
GACGAACGCUGGCGGCGUGCCUAAUACAUGCAAGUUGAGCGAUGAAGAUUGGUGCUUGCCCCAAUUUGAAGAGCAGCGAACGGGUGAGUAACGCGUGGGGAAUCUGCCUUUGAGCGGGGGACAACAUUUGGAAACGAAUGCUAAUACCGCAUAACAACUUUAAACAUAAUUUUUAAGUUUGAAAGAUGCAAUUGCAUCACUCAAAGAUGAUCCCGCGUUGUAUUAGCUAGUUGGUGAGGUAAAGGCUCACCAAGGCGAUGAUACAUAGCCGACCUGAGAGGGUGAUCGGCCACAUUGGGACUGAGACACGGCCCAAACUCCUACGGGAGGCAGCAGUAGGGAAUCUUCGGCAAUGGACGAAAGUCUGACCGAGCAACGCCGCGUGAGUGAAGAAGGUUUUCGGAUCGUAAAACUCUGUUGGUAGAGAAGAACGUUGGUGAGAGUGGAAAGCUCAUCAAGUGACGGUAACUACCCAGAAAGGGACGGCUAACUACGUG